GCACCAGUAGAGUAGUAGUUAACUCAUUUCCCUCCCAUUAUUCAUACAUGGGCAAGGAAGGAAAAGACCUGGGUGCAAGUCCCGGCUGGUGCA